CCUGCAAAGUACAAAAACACCCUUCUGCGAGAGCCUCUGCGUGGGACUCUGUUGUGAUGCUGAGAGGAAAUCACAGAGAGUUCCAGCCCCUGUGUUUACUCAAUGUACGCUGACCCAGAGGAGAGAACAUGCUGAAUGUGGAGUUUUGUUUUCCCCCGACCUGUCUGUCAAAGAUUUUAGGGAGCAGUGAUGAUCGCGACCGUGUCUCGAGGGAGAGAGGACAGCAGCUCAGGACAGAACGGCCUAACGACAGCAGAACCACCACAACAUGAAAAAGCCGGGGGCCAGUGCGCGCGGAUGAGGAAUCAUCUCCAGAAAGCCAGCUUGUCAGCCAUGCAGCCGACCGCGUGCUGUGAUGUACACACACCAAGAGGUUCUGCAUGCAUGUUUUAUAGCGGGCUGCAACAGAGACAGAGGCACUUAAAGCAGAAUUCCAAAUGAUAACCUGAGAGACAGAGGAAAGAGGCUCGCAGAGUUCAGCGGGU